AUGGAGAGUUUGAUCCUGGCUCAGGACGAACGCUGGCGGCGUGCCUAAUACAUGCAAGUCGAGCGGGGAGACUCGAUAUGGAGGCUUCGGCCGAAGUGUUGAGGAUCCCAGCGGCGGACGGGUGAGUAACGCGUGGGUAACCUACCCUAUCGCCCGGGAUAACCCUCGGAAACGGGGGCUAAUACCGGAUGCGGUCACCGGGCCGCAUGGCCGGGUGACGAAAGGGCGAAGCCCGCGAUAGGAUGGGCCCGCGUCCCAUUAGCUAGUUGGUGGGGUAACGGCCCACCAAGGCGACGAUGGGUAGCCGGCCUGAGAGGGUGGACGGCCACACUGGGACUGAGACACGGCCCAGACUCCUACGGGAGGCAGCAGUAGGGAAUCUUCGGCAAUGGGCGAAAGCCUGACCGAGCGACGCCGCGUGGGGGAUGAAGGCCUUCGGGUCGUAAACCCCUGUCCUUGGGGACGAAGUGCUGACGGUACCCAAGGAGGAAGCCCCGGCUAACUACGUGCCAGCAGCCGCGGUAAAACGUAGGGGGCGAGCGUUGUCCGGAAUCACUGGGCGUAAAGGGUGCGUAGGCGGCCGCUUAAGUCCUGUGUGAAAGGCUCCGGCUUAACCGGAGACGGCCAUGGGAAACUGGGCGGCUUGAGUGCCGGAGAGGGUGGCGGAAUUCCCGGUGUAGCGGUGAAAUGCGUAGAGAUCGGGAGGAACACCAGUGGCGAAGGCGGCCACCUGGACGGUAACUGACGCUGAGGCACGACAGCUGGGGGAGCAAACAGGAUUAGAUACCCUGGUAGUCCCAGCCGUAAACGAUGAGUGCUAGGUGUUGCGGGUAUCGACCCCUGCAGUGCCGUAGUUAACGCAAUAAGCACUCCGCCUGGGGAGUACGGCCGCAAGGCUGAAACUCAAAGGAAUUGACGGGGGCCCGCACAAGCGGUGGAGCAUGUGGUUUAAUUCG
rnacentral:rRNA from 1 species